UUUUAGAAUUUAAUUUAAAGUCUAACCUGCCCACUGAAUUAUUUUUAAAGGGCCGCAGUAUCCUAACUGUGCAAAGGUAGCAUAAUCAUUAGUCUUUUAAUUGAAGGCUGGAAUGAAUGGUUGGAUGAAAUAUUAACUGUUUCAUAAAAAUUAAAAAUAGAAUUUUAUUUUUUAGUCAAAAAGCUAAAAUAUAAUUAAAAGACGAGAAGACCCUAUAAAUCUUUAUAUUUUAGUAAUUUUAAUUAUUUAGAUAAAUUAAAUUAUAAUUACUUAAAAUAUUUUAUUGGGGUGAUAUUAAAAUUUAAUAAACUUUUAAUUUAUAAUUAACAUAAAUUAAUGAAUUGUUGAUCCAUUUAUUAUGAUUAAAAAAUUAAGUUACUUUAGGGAUAACAGCGUAAUUUUUUUAGAGAGUUCAUAUUGAUAAAAA
rnacentral:rRNA from 1 species